rnacentral:lncRNA from 1 species
AGACAUUAAUCUUAAGUAUCCAGGGAGCCCUAAAACAUUGUAUCCCACUAGCAAGGACCAUGGUAAUUGCCACGUAAAUCCCCUCCAUUAUGUGGCCCUUAUUAUGACCAGCCAGCCAAGGCUUGCCUUUAAAUCAUACCAAUUGAACCGAGCCUUGUAGAAACACUAUCACCUACGCAUACCUCUGCUUCUUUUCAUUAACCUGCUAUCCUCUUUACAAAUGGGAUUCUUCACCCACUCCCUUCUUCUAGAUUAGCAAUGCCCUGUUAAGUAAACGAACACGAAAUUCAAAGGGAAACAGGAGCAAUCAUCAUUACCAGCUGCCGUGUUAAGCAUUGCGAAAACGCUCACGAUUCACAGAAAAAUCCAUGCUGUUCUUUGAAGGCAUUCAAGCCUUAAUAGCUAGCUGGAUGAAUGUUUAACUUCUAGGCCAGGCACUACUCUGUCCCAACAAUAAGCCCUGUACAUUGGGAAAGGUGCCGAGACAUGAACUUUGGUCUUCUCUGCAAUCCAUCUGGAGCAUUCACUGACAACAUCGACUUUGAAGUUGCACUGACCUGGCCAGCCCUGCCACUUACCAGGUUGGCUCUGUAUGGCUAAGCGUUUUCUCCUAAAAUCCCUUGAAAACUGUGAGAAGACCAUAAGAAGAUCAUAUCUUUAAUUCUAUUUCACAAGUCACACAAUAUUCCAAUCAAAUACAGAUGGUUGAGAAAAGUCAUCCAUCUUCCCUCCCCACCCUCCCACAGCCCCUCAACCACUGCCCUGAAACUUAUAUGCUGUUAUCCGCAGCUCCAUCUGGAGCAUCACAGCUACUGUCAACCCUGACGCUCUUUCUGAAAAAACACCGGAUGGACAUCAGAACUAUUUCUUUAAGGAUGUUACUGAGCCACACAGGAAAACUUGCCUUAUGAUUUUGAAUGCACGGAUCUGAUUUGACUAAACAUGAUAACUAGAGAAUCACCCAAUCUACUCCCAUUUUCAACUCUAAAUCAUCAGAGUGUCUCAAAUCCAAAGCACACACAGACCAGCCUGGCCAACACGGUGAAACUCCACCCCUACUAAAAGUAUAAAAAUUAUCCAGGUGUGGUGGCGGGCGCCUGUAAUCCAAGCUACUUGGGAGUCUGGAGGCAGGAGAAUCCCUUGAACCUGGGAGAUGGAGGUUGCAGUGAGCAGAGAUCACACCACCGCACUCUAGCCUGGGCCACAAAUCAACAACAACAACAACAACAAAAAACAAAGCGCACACAGAGACUGAGGUCCUCUUUGGCAUUGAGAAGAUGGCUAUGCAAGUCCCAACUAGCAAGUGCAAACUUCCCAGCUUCACUUCUGCCAGUGUCCCUUCACCCCUUCUCAACCCCACUGGGAGGCAGGAGGGUGCUUGACAAUAACAGCCUUGGCAUCACUCUGCCAGGGUGUAAUAGGAACUGUUACAAUUCUGAGAUUCUGUAUGGGAGUGUCUAGUUGCAGGAAACAAGCUCAGGGCUUCCACUGAUUCUACAUUAUGGCUGUGGCUUGCCUUUUCACUUCUUGUGUCCUGUUUAAGAAAUAUCUGCUAUCCCAAGAUAACACUAACAAAGUUGACCUUAGAAUUGGAGUGCCUGGGUUAGAACCCUGCUGGUACCACCUGCUUACUGCAUGCUUCUGAUGUGAGUUCAGGAGAAGACACUGGCAAGGACAGCAAAGAACAGGAGAACACUCUAGCUUCCCUGAUAGCAUUCAAGGUGCUGUCCAAAGCUCUUGAGUUUCUGCUUUCAAGUGACCCUCAGAAAUUCCUCCAUUCACUGCAGAGGUUCUGUUUCUCCUUGCUUUGUUCUGACUUUACGGCAGAACUAAGCUAAUGAGUUAGUUACUAUGGGUUAUCACUUGGAUUUGAAGAACCAUCAUUUCUAGGCAUUGCUGCUCAGAGUGACCUUGCCAUCGUAUCCCCUUUUGGAGACACAAGCCAGGAAGGAAGCUCUUCAGUGCAGCUGUGAAUAGAGAAAUGCUGGCUGAGGUUUUGGAGACACUGGGUGAUCAUUCCCAGUGAAAUUUUUAGAUCCCUGGGGACAUGAGCUGCUUUGUCUUUUCCAAGGCUGAAAAAGUUUUGGAAGCCCUCCUAAGCAGGUGCCAGACCCUUUUUUGGCCAGAGACAGGAUCUUACGCUGUUGCCCAGGCUGGAGUGCAAUAGUGUCAUCAUGGCUCACUGUAGCCUGGAACUGCUGGGCUCAAGGGAUCCUCCCAGCUCAGCCUCCCAAGUAGCUAGGAGUAAAGUUGGAGGAACUGGUUAUUUUCCCAGGGCUUUGACUGAAAUGGCCUUGUGAAUGGUUCCAGGAAAGCCAAUUUUGGAGACCCUAUGUGGAUGAUGAUGCUUGCUGUACUUUCUGUGGGUAAUCGGGCCAAGUAUAUGGGACUGAAGCUAAUUUUGCAGGUGAGAAAAUGGAGGUCCAGAGAGAAAAGUGACUCACCCAAGCUGAAAACAGUUGCAGGAAGAAAAGCCAGGACAGAACUGGGCUGUUAGAAACCUUGGAGUACACUAAAGAUGAGGAACUGAGUCACCGCAAUGCCAAAUGUAACACGCUGUGGGUCAAAAUUUGGAUGGUUGCGUUGGAAAUUAUUCUGAAGCCACAGACAGGGCUAAAAGAGUCUAGAAUGUCCUACUAGCUGUUGGAACCUGCUGGAGUUCUAAAGGCAUGCGAUGUCCUGAAUGUGCUUGACCAAUGGACACAGCAGGUAUUUGAAGAGUUUUGAUGCUUCCUUUCUGUUUUCAGUGCUAUUUUUUUGCUUUAUUUCUUUUAAAAAACUUUCCCCACAGAGGCUAUUUAUUACACAGCAGCAGCCAGCAUGCACCAAGCAGAACUGCUUUUCAUAAUAAACCUAUUUAUCUUCUGGCAUGUCAGAAAUUUCUCAAAUUGAUACUUAUAAUAAAUAUGAUUAAUAACACAUUGUA